rnacentral:rRNA from 1 species
CUCCUACGGGAGGCAGCAGUGGGGAAUAUUGGACAAUGGACCGAGAGUCUGAUCCAGCAAUUCUGUGUGCACGAUGAAGUUUUUCGGAAUGUAAAGUGCUUUCAGUUGGGAAGAAAGAAAUGACGGUACCAACAGAAGAAGUGACGGCUAAAUACGUGCCAGCAGCCGCGGUAAUACGUAUGUCACGAGCGUUAUCCGGAUUUAUUGGGCGUAAAGCGCGUCUAGGUGGUUAUGUAAGUCUGAUGUGAAAAUGCAGAGCUCAACUCUGUAUUGCGUUGGAAACUGUAUAACUAGAGUACUGGAGAGGUAAGCGGAACUACAAGUGUAGAGGUGAAAUUCGUAGAUAUUUGUAGGAAUGCCGAUGGGGAAGCCAGCUUACUGGACAGAUACUGACGCUAAAGCGCGAAAGCGUGGGUAGCAAACAGGAUUAGAUACCCUGGUAGUCCACGCUGUAAACGAUGAUUACUAGGUGUUGGGAGUCGAACCUCAGCGCCCAAGCAAACGCGAUAAGUAAUCCGCCUGGGGAGUACGUACGCAAGUAUGAAACUCAAAGGAAUUGACGGGGGCCCGCACAAG